CGCAUCUAGAUUAGACUUUGAUCCUGGCUCAGAUUGAACGCUGGCGGCAUGCUUUACACAUGCAAGUCGAACGGCAGCGCGGGGCAACCUGGCGGCGAGUGGCGAACGGGUGAGUAAUAUAUCGGAACGUACCCAAGAGUGGGGGAUAACGCAGCGAAAGUUGCGCUAAUACCGCAUACGAUCUAAGGAUGAAAGCAGGGGACCGCAAGGCCUUGUGCUCCUGGAGCGGCCGAUAUCUGAUUAGCUAGUUGGUGAGGUAAUGGCUCACCAAGGCGACGAUCAGUAGCUGGUCUGAGAGGACGACCAGCCACACUGGAACUGAGACACGGUCCAGACUCCUACGGGAGGCAGCAGUGGGGAAUUUUGGACAAUGGGCGCAAGCCUGAUCCAGCAAUGCCGCGUGAGUGAAGAAGGCCUUCGGGUUGUAAAGCUCUUUUGUCAGGGAAGAAACGGCGCCGGCUAAUAUCCGGCGCUAAUGACGGUACCUGAAGAAUAAGCACCGGCUAACUACGUGCCAGCAGCCGCGGUAAUACGUAGGGUGCAAGCGUUAAUCGGAAUUACUGGGCGUAAAGCGUGCGCAGGCGGUUUUGUAAGUCUGACGUGAAAUCCCCGGGCUUAACCUGGGAAUUGCGUUGGAGACUGCAAGGCUAGAAUCUGGCAGAGGGGGGUAGAAUUCCACGUGUAGCAGUGAAAUGCGUAGAGAUGUGGAGGAACACCGAUGGCGAAGCAGCCCCCUGGGUCAAGAUUGACGCUCAUGCACGAAAGCGUGGGGAGCAAACAGGAUUAGAUACCCUGGUAGUCCACGCCCUAAACGAUGUCUACUAGUUGUCGGGUCUUAAUUGACUUGGUAACGCAGCUAACGCGUGAAGUAGACCGCCUGGGGAGUACGGUCGCAAGAUUAAAACUCAAAGGAAUUGAGGGGACCCGCACAAGCGGUGGAUGAUGUGGAUUAAUUCGAUGCAACGCGAAAACUUACCUACCCUUGACAUGGCAGGAAUCCCGGAAGAUCUGGGAUGCUCGAAAGAAACCUGCACACAGGUGCUGCAUGGCGCAGCUCGCGGUGUGGGUCCCCAACGCACUGCUCUACACAAACGAUACAAAUGGGCUUUAA
rnacentral:rRNA from 1 species